rnacentral:rRNA from 1 species
UACGUAGGGUGCGAGCGUUGUCCGGAAUUAUUGGGCGUAAAGAGCUCGUAGGCGGUCUGUCGCGUCGGAUGUGAAAGCCCGGGGCUUAACUCCGGGUCUGCAUUCGAUACGGGCAGACUAGAGUGUGGUAGGGGAGAUCGGAAUUCCUGGUGUAGCGGUGAAAUGCGCAGAUAUCAGGAGGAACACCGGUGGCGAAGGCGGUUCUCUGGGCCUGUACUGACGCUGAGGAGCGAAAGCGUGGGGAGCGAACAGG